rnacentral:rRNA from 1 species
GUGAACGCUGGCGGUAGGCCUAACACAUGCAAGUCGAACGGCAGCACAGUAAGAGCUUGCUCUUACGGGUGGCGAGUGGCGGACGGGUGAGGAAUACAUCGGAAUCUACUUUUUCGUGGGGGAUAACGUAGGGAAACUUACGCUAAUACCGCAUACGACCUACGGGUGAAAGCAGGGGAUCUUCGGACCUUGCGCGAUUGAAUGAGCCGAUGUCGGAUUAGCUAGUUGGCGGGGUAAAGGCCCACCAAGGCGACGAUCCGUAGCUGGUCUGAGAGGAUGAUCAGCCACACUGGAACUGAGACACGGUCCAGACUCCUACGGGAGGGAGCAGUGGGGAAUAUUGGACAAUGGGCGCAAGCCUGAUCCAGCCAUACCGCGUGGGUGAAGAAGGCCUUCGGGUUGUAAAGCCCUUUUGUUGGGAAAGAAAAGCAGCAGGUUAAUACCCCGCUGUUCUGACGGUACCCAAAGAAUAAGCACCGGCUAACUUCGUG